UUAAAUUUCGUCACUCCUCUUUGGGCGGAAUCAACCUUAUCCCGUCGAGGUCUUCUCCUGCGAGCCCCCGUCGCGUCUUCCUCAACUACACGUCGUCGAUCCCGUCAAUAGCAUCUCCAGCAAGCUUCCUACAGAAUUUCUUCUUCGAUCACUGCUAGUCCCACCGACGCCUUGUACGCGACUUCCUUCCUUCUUAGGGUUUCAGGUAGGAGUGGAUUGGGAGGAUGUAUGGAAAGGAGAGAACAAGACCAAGAGCGUGCAAGCGAGAGCAACGGAAAAUUGAGCGGGACUUGGUUUUGUGAGAACCAUUCAAACCUCACGCAAUAACGUGCACGAUUAUGGGAGAUGAAAGGCACAGUGAAUCGGAGCUGGUCUCGCCGAAGAAGCUUAGGAGGCAAUGGAGACGACGAAAGGAAGUCGAUGGAGACGAUGACACAUAAUAGAGUUGUGGAUCACAGGAGCCCAAUUUUAGGGCUCUUGGGUCUACUUUUGCGUCGGCCAUGGUCCUAGACACAAACGCUCGAAAACUGAUCUCCCCUUGCAUAAAGUGCAUCAACCCAUGCUCAAUCAGAAUCUUAGUGGAGAGAAUUUCCAGGCAUGAAAAGCUUCCAAGUUCUGCCCUCCGCCACCAUAGAGAUUAACAUCGAAACACACUGUCAGCAUCAUCAAGUUCCUUUUGUUGGUCAACAUCAACAUUGAUUGCUGCCAUCCCCUUCACCACCAGCACUUAAACAUGAAUUGUUGAUUAAUAUUGCCACAAUUUUUUUUUUUCAUCCUCUAGCAUUCAACAUAAGCCUUCAUGGUUGCUUGAUGCUCUAGCCUAUAAGAAAAUAGUUGAGUUAGCCUACCAUAAUUCACCCAACGUCCAAUACUCUCGUUGAUUAUUUCCUAACACAAACUAUAUAUUUAUUUUUAAAGUUUGUUAUACACAAAUACCAAUGAAAAUAUACUUGUCUUCGUGGUUUCCCAUAUUAAAAGAAGAAAAAUCAUAUCAUAGCACCCAACAGUACCCAAACUCUAAUAUUUCAUCUUGAUUAUCACUUAAAGCAUACUAAAGGGUGAUGCCUAAUAUUUUAUCUUCUCUUUUAUAAAGAGAACGAUGUAGUUAAACCAUCUGACAUUCUUUAACAUCUAAUUAAAAUCAUUCGAUCUCUAAAACUUAUUUUGUUAACCAUCAUUCAAUGCAUAUCAAAUAUGGCAUAUCAUGUUUCUUAGGCAAUGAAGUUUGAUUCAGACCUUUCUAGUCACUAAGUCUCUCCUUUUAUAUGAAGAAUGAUUGUUCAAAACCACAAUGUUCUCAAAUGAUCAUUGCUUGAUGCAUACUAAGGAAUUAUCUCUGAUGUUCAUUAAUUAUGAAUGAUUGGUAUAACACUCCUUGAUUCCUUUGUCUCCAAUCCUAUAAGAAAAAUGAUUGAAUCAAGCCUUCCCGAUCUUCUAACAUCCUUUCUAUAAGGCCCAUGGAGUAAUAUCUGAUGUUCAUCCAAUAUUGCUUAA